rnacentral:piRNA from 1 species
UGGCUUGCUGCUCAAGUGCAGAAUCCU